UACGUAGGGUGCAAGCGUUGUCCGGAAUUAUUGGGCGUAAAGAGCUUGUAGGCGGUUUGUCGCGUCUGCCGUGAAAUUUCGAGGCUCAACCUCGAACUUGCGGUGGGUACGGGCAGACUAGAGUGUGGUAGGGGAGACUGGAAUUCCUGGUGUAGCGGUGAAAUGCGCAGGAUAUCAGGAGGAACACCGAUGGCGAAGGCAGGUCUCUGGGCAUUAACUGACGCUGAGGAGCGAAAGCAUGGGAGCGAACAGG
rnacentral:rRNA from 1 species